UGAGUGUUGUACAGCCUCCAGGACCCCCCCUCCCGGGAGAGCCAUAGUGGUCUGCGGAACCGGUGAGUUCACCGGAAUCGCCGGGACGACCGGGUCCUUUCUUGGAACAAACCCGCUCAAUGCCCGGCAAUUUGGGCGUGCCCCCGCAAGACUGCUAGCCGAGUAGCGUUGGGUUGCGAAAGGCCUUGUGGUACUG
rnacentral:other from 1 species